UACAUGCAGUCGAGCGGACAGAUGGGAGCUUGCUCCCUGAUGUUAGCGGCGGACGGGUGAGUAACACGUGGGUAACCUGCCUGUAAGACUGGGAUAACUCCGGGAAACCGGGGCUAAUACCGGAUGGUUGUUUGAACCGCAUGGUUCAGACAUAAAAGGUGGCUUCGGCUACCACUUACAGAUGGACCCGCGGCGCAUUAGCUAGUUGGUGAGGUAACGGCUCACCAAGGCGACGAUGCGUAGCCGACCUGAGAGGGUGAUCGGCCACACUGGGACUGAGACACGGCCCAGACUCCUACGGGAGGCAGCAGUAGGGAAUCUUCCGCAAUGGACGAAAGUCUGACGGAGCAACGCCGCGUGAGUGAUGAAGGUUUUCGGAUCGUAAAGCUCUGUUGUUAGGGAAGAACAAGUGCCGUUCAAAUAGGGCGGCACCUUGACGGUACCUAACCAGAAAGCCACGGCUAACUACGUGCCAGCAGCCGCGGUAAUACGUAGGUGGCAAGCGUUGUCCGGAAUUAUUGGGCGUAAAGGGCUCGCAGGCGGUUUCUUAAGUCUGAUGUGAAAGCCCCCGGCUCAACCGGGGAGGGUCAUUGGAAACUGGGGAACUUGAGUGCAGAAGAGGAGAGUGGAAUUCCACGUGUAGCGGUGAAAUGCGUAGAGAUGUGGAGGAACACCAGUGGCGAAGGCGACUCUCUGGUCUGUAACUGACGCUGAGGAGCGAAAGCGUGGGGAGCGAACAGGAUUAGAUACCCUGGUAGUCCACGCCGUAAACGAUGAGUGCUAAGUGUUAGGGGGUUUCCGCCCCUUAGUGCUGCAGCUAACGCAUUAAGCACUCCGCCUGGGGAGUACGGUCGCAAGACUGAAACUCAAAGGAAUUGACGGGGGCCCGCACAAGCGGUGGAGCAUGGUGGUUUAAUUCGAAGCAACGCGAAGACCUUACCAGGUCUUGACAUCCUC
rnacentral:rRNA from 2 species